rnacentral:rRNA from 1 species
CCCUUAGAGUUUGAUCCUGGCUCAGGACGAACGCUGGCGGCGUGCUUAACACAUGCAAGUCGAACGAGAAUCUACGGAUCGAGGAUUCGUCCAAGUGAAGUAGAGGACAGUGGCGGACGGGUGAGUAACGCGUGAGGAACCUGCCUUUCAGAGGGGGACAACAGUUGGAAACGACUGCUAAUACCGCAUGACACAUUGGGGUCGCAUGGCUCUGAUGUCAAAGAUUUAUCGCUGAAAGAUGGCCUCGCGUCUGAUUAGCUAGUUGGUGAGGUAACGGCCCACCAAGGCGACGAUCAGUAGCCGGACUGAGAGGUUGACCGGCCACAUUGGGACUGAGAUACGGCCCAGACUCCUACGGGAGGCAGCAGUGGGGAAUAUUGGGCAAUGGGCGCAAGCCUGACCCAGCAACGCCGCGUGAAGGAAGAAGGCUUUCGGGUUGUAAACUUCU